rnacentral:tRNA from 1 species
GCCGCGGUGGCACAAUCCGGUACUGCGACGGUCUCGAAAACCGUUUUCCUCACGGAUCUCCCAGUUCAAAUCUGGGCCGCGGCG